CUCAUGGAGGUGGGUUGGAGGUGGGAACGCGAUUGUUUAAAGGCAGAGCCACAUCCUUCAUCUCAGGUGACCCUCAGAACAACCUUGUAACCACGUCAGAGACAUUUUAAGUUCUUCCCGGUAGAAUGUAAGCUCUGUGAAGCCAGGGCCUAUGCAAGCUGAGCGAAUUUUCACGUCUGUAUACACCAUGAAGUCAUCUCAGAUCAAGAUAUGCAGUGUUUUCAGCACCUUAGAAUGUUCCUUGGGCCCCUUCCCAGUCAAUACGGGCUCCAGAGUUAAUCACUAUUCUGACCUCUAUUGCCUGAGAUGAAUUGAUGGACACUGGGGGUGGUUUUUUUUUUUUAAAGAUUUUAUUUAUUGAUUUGACAGAAAGAGAGAGAAAGAGCACAAGAAGGCAGAGACACAGGCAGAGGGAGAAGCAGACUCCCCACUGAGCAGGGAGCCCGAUGUGGGACUCGAUCCCAGGACCCUGGGAUCAUGACCUGAGCCGAAGGCAGACGAUUCGCCGACUGGGCCACCCAGGCGCCCCGACUCUCAGCUUCCAGAUGAGAAAACUGAGGCGGGGAUUUGAAUUUGUGCCAGGUGUGGAGGUGUUCGUCACCUGUGCCAUCCGCCAGGUGGGCUCUGCGGGAAUCGGGGAUCAGUGAGGGUUACUGCAGGAGAGCCAAGGCUGAGGUGGCCCGGACCUGGGCUCACUCCCCACUGCUCCCGUCAACCUGUGUGUCUUUGGCCUCUCCCGCUCAUAGAUCUCAGCCACCACAUGCUUUUUUUUUUUUUUUUUAAGAUUUUAUUUGUGGGGUGCAGGAGAGCACAGAGGGAGAGGGAGAAGCAGACUCCCCACUGAGCAGAGACCCUCUUGUGGGACUUGAUCCCAGGCCCUGAGACCAUGACCUGGGCCAAAGGCAGACACUGAACCGACUGAGCCGCCCAGGCACCCUACCAUGUGCUGUCUCCUGCACGGCUGUCAGCCCACAGAGCUCCAACACCCCCGGUGACCCCCCAGCCACCACUACCCCCGGUAAUAUAUCGGCACCCAG
rnacentral:lncRNA from 1 species